AGAAGUCCUUUGGGGUGAGUUAGCACCACUUUACAGAGGGAAGGCAGAGUCGCGGUGGCAAGUUCCAUGUGAUAUCUGCAUCCUGCCUGCUCCAGGUGACACCUUAGAUUUGAAUACCAUUAAGGUCAUACUUCAAUCCAGCAGAGGCUUGGAUCUCCGUUUUCAUCUCUCUGACUUCUUAUAAGAGCAAGCCACUGUGACAUGUGCCUUUGCACAAAUCCAUGAAGUUAAGAGGAGGAUCUCUGUGAAGGCUUCAGAUUUAAGCGCCGCAGAGGGGAGGCAGGAGAUGG